GAUGAACGCUGGCGGCGUGCCUAAUACAUGCAAGUCGAGCGAACAGACGAGGAGCUUGCUCCUCUGACGUUAGCGGCGGACGGGUGAGUAACACGUGGAUAACCUACCUAUAAGACUGGGAUAACUUCGGGAAACCGGAGCUAAUACCGGAUAAUAUAUUGAACCGCAUGGUUCAAUAGUGAAAGACGGUUUUGCUGUCACUUAUAGAUGGAUCCGCGCCGCAUUAGCUAGUUGGUAAGGUAACGGCUUACCAAGGCAACGAUGCGUAGCCGACCUGAGAGGGGGAUAGGCCACACUGGAACUGAGACACGGUCCAGACUCCUACGGGAGGCAGCAGUAGGGAAUCUUCCGCAAUGGGCGAAAGCCUGACGGAGCAACGCCGCGUGAGUGAUGAAGGUCUUCGGAUCGUAAAACUCUGUUAUUAGGGAAGAACAAAUGUGUAAGUAACUGUGCACGUCUUGACGGUACCUAAUCAGAAAGCCACGGCUAACUACGUG
rnacentral:rRNA from 1 species